UACGUAGGUGGCAAGCGUUAUCCGGAAUUAUUGGGCGUAAAGCGCGCGCAGGCGGUUUCUUAAGUCUGAUGUGAAAGCCCACGGCUCAACCGUGGAGGGUCAUUGGAAACUGGGGAACUUGAGUGCAGAAGAGAAAAGCGGAAUUCCACGUGUAGCGGUGAAAUGCGUAGAGAUGUGGAGGAACACCAGUGGCGAAGGCGGCUUUUUGGUCUGUAACUGACGCUGAGGCACGAAAGCGUGGGGAGCAAACAGG
rnacentral:rRNA from 1 species